rnacentral:lncRNA from 1 species
GUGAGCUAAUCAGUCUCAGCUGGGCGGUCUUUGCUUGGGCCCCUACGUGCUUUUGCUGGACAGGAGCUAAGACCGAAAUAAUGUGAAGGCUCAAGAAGGUGAAGCGCUGGUGAAGAUGACUCACUCAACAUGACUGGCAGUUAUUGGUAUCUGUCAGUUGGGAGUACAGUUGAUACUAUGAACUGCAGUAUCUACAUGUGGCCUUUUCAUGUGGCUCAGGAUUUUCAAAUCAUGGUGACUGGGUUCUUAGAAGGAGUAUACCAAGAGCAAGCAUUCCAAGAGACAAGAGUGGAAGAAGGAAGUUCCACCUUUUGAAGGGGGUCAUAAAAACUAUAGUCAUCUCCAUUUCCUUAAACCAAUAAGCAUUAAAUACUAAUAAUAGACAUCUUUUAUUAUUAUUGUUUAUUAUUUCCCUUAUUUCUCACUCAUCCUAAAAUCUUCACAUAACCCUAGGUCUUGAUUUUGUGCAUGAGGAAACUGAGGAUGAAAAUAGUUAUGUAAUUUGGUAAAAGUCACACAAUAAGAGUUCAAAGACAGAUAUGCCUUUGCCGUUUUAUUUCAUUAUCCUUUCACUCUUCCAUAAAAUUUACUAUGAUUCCCUUUACCUUCUCACAUCAAAGCUAAAUUCCUGUGUUUCUAACCCAUCCAUAAUCUGCCCUAUUCCUGCCUAUGCCAUCUUACACCUCUCAGCCUCCUCUGUACUCUCUUUUCCAUAAUGCCAUUGUUCCUCUUACCUGGGAUGCCUCCACCCUACCCCUCCAAUUUAAAUCCUACCAAUCAUUCUUGCUGUCCUUUUCUCUGAAUAUGUCCCUAACUAGAGCAAGGCAGAAUGACUUCCCCUCCUGUGGAGUUAAAGCAUAUUUCUUAUGUAGUGGCUCAUGGACUUCUUGUUUUCAUGCAUGUUAGUUUUAUCUUUCCAAGUGUAUUAUAAAUUUUUGUGGCUAUAAUCUAUGUCACCAAGUCUGAUAUUCCUUCUAAAUUCCUUAUACGUCCCACCCUCUAAGACUGGUUCACCAGAGAAUUGGCAAUAAACUACAUUAUGCUGCUGUAGUCAUGGUAGAGUCCACUGGAG